rnacentral:rRNA from 1 species
GCGAAGCCCUUGUGGUGGAGCGGCAGACAGCUCAGUAAUACAGUUUUUAUUUACUCGUAGUAAUACACGGAUAACCGCGGUAAGCUGUGGCUAAUACGUGUAAAAGUUACUAUAAUGGUGAAACAUUGGUAAUUAACAGUCACUGACGACUACGAUUAAGGAUCUGUCCUAUCAGCUAAUGAUGGUAGGGUAAUGGCCUACCAUUGCUAUAACGGGUAACGGGGAAUCAGUGUUCGAUUCCGGAGAGGGAGCCUGAGAAAUAGCUCCCACGUCUAAGGAUGGCAGCAGGCGCGAAACUUACCCAAUUCCGUAAGGGAGAGGUAGUCAAAAGACAUGAGGGUUUACCCUAGAGAUUGUACAGUAAACUAGUACAAAAUCGAUUGGAGGGCAAGUCUGGUGCCAGCAGCCGCGGUAAUUCCAGCUCCAAUAGCGCAUAUGAUUGUUGCUGCAGUUAAAACGUCCGUAGUUGAUCACAAAGAAAAUUUUUACAUAGUAUUUGUAAGAAUUUUCUUCGAUACUGUGAGAAAAAUAUAGUUCUCAAAGCAAAGUUAUUUGUGUAAUUUAGCAUGGGAUAUUGUGAAGAUAGGAACAGAUGAUGGCAACAGUAUUCAGGAGUUAGAGGUGAAAAUUGUUGACCUCCUGAGGACUAUCUGAAGCGAAGGCGGUUGUCAAGUAUGUUUCCGUUAAUAAAGGACUUAAGCUGGAGGAUCAAAGGUGAUUAGAGACCGCCGUAGUUCCAGCUGUAAACUAUGCCGACUAGGUGAGGCCAAUUGGCUGUGCCUUAGGAGAAAUCAAGAGUUUUCGGGCUCUGGGGAUAGUACGGCCGCAAGGUUGAAACUUAAAGAAAUUGACGGAAGGACACCACAAGAAGUGGAGUGUGCGGCUUAAUUUGACUCAACGCGGGACAACUUACCAGGGCCGAAUGUGUAGGAGAUUGGCGAUUUGAGAAAAUUCCCAAGAUUACACAAUAAGUGGUGCAUGGCCGUUUUCAACACGUGGGGUGACUUGUCUGGUUAAUUCCGUAAACGCGUGAGGCCCUUUAAGCAAUUUUAUUGUUUGACGGUUGGUGGCAAACCAAAGGAAGUUGGGCGAUAACAGGUCAGUGAUGCCCUUAGAUGUUCUGGGCUGCACGCGCACUACAAUGGUAAGGCGAAAUUAUAUGCUGAAAAGCAUUUUUAAAACCUUACCGAAGCUGGGAUAAGCUCUUGUAAAUGAGUUUUGAACACGGAAUUUCAAGUAAUCGCAAUUAACUAUAUUGCGAUGAAAGCGUCCCUGUUCUUUGUACACACCGCCCGUCACUAUCUAAGAUGGAUGCUAUUGGUGAAAUGGCUGG